GAGGGUAGCUGAAGGUACUAUACGAAUAAGCACCGGCUAACUCCGGUUAUCCGGAUUUAUUGGGUUUAAAGGGUCCGUAGGCGGACUUAUAAGUCAGUGGUGAAAGCCUGUCGCUUAACGAUAGAACUGCCAUUGAUACUGUAAGUCUUGAGUAUAUUUGAGGUAGCUGGAAUAAGUAGUGUAGGCGGUGAAAUGCAUAGAUAUUACUUAGAACACCAAUUGCGAAGGCAGGUUACCAAGAUAUAACUGACGCUGAGGGACGAAAGCGUGGGGAGCGAACAGGGUUAGAUACCCUGGUAGUCGCACGCCGUAAACGAUGCUAACUCGUUUUUGGGCUUUAGGGUUCAGAGACCAAGCGAAAGUGAUAAGUUAGCCACCUGGGGAGUACGCUCGCAAGAGUGAAACUCAAAGGAAUUGACGGGGGCCCGCACAAGCGGUGGAUUAUGUGGUUUAAUUCGAUGAUACGCGAGGAACCUUACCAAGACUUAAAUGGGAAUUGACAGCUUUAGAAAUAGAGCUUUCUUCGGACAAUUUUCAAGGUGCUGCAUGGUUGUCGUCAGCUCGUGCCGUGAGGUGUUAGGUUAAGUCCUGCAACGAGCGCAACCCCUGUCACUAGUUGCCAUCAUUCAGUUGGGGACUCUAGUGAGACUGCCUACGCAAGUAGAGAGGAAGGUGGGGAUGACGUCAAAUCAUCACGGCCCUUACGUCUUGGGCCACACACGUAAUACAAUGGCCGGUACAGAGGGCAGCUACACAGCGAUGUGAUGCAAAUCUCGAAAGCCGGUCUCAGUUCGGAUUGGAGUCUGCAACUCGACUCUAUGAAGCUGGAAUCGCUAGUAAUCGCGCAUCAGCCAUGGCGCGGUGAAUACGUUCCCGGGCCUUGUACACACCGCCCGUCAAGCCAUGGAAGCUGGGGGUACCUGAAGUCGGUGACCGUAAAAGGAGCUGCCUAGGGUAAAACUAGUAACUAGGGCUAAGUCGUAACAAGGUAGCCGU
rnacentral:rRNA from 1 species